UAUUACCGCGGCUGCUGGGGCGGGGGCACGGGGGGACUCCUACGGGAGGCAGCAGUGGGGAAUAUUGCACAAUGGGCGCAAGCCUGAUGCAGCCAUGCCGCGUGUAUGAAGAAGGCCUUUGGGUUGUAAAGUACUUUCAGCGGGGAGGAAGGCGAUGUGGUUAAUAACCGCGUCGAUUGACGUUACCCGCAGAAGAAGCACCGGCUAACUCCGUGCCAGCAGCCGCGGUAAU
rnacentral:rRNA from 1 species